rnacentral:rRNA from 1 species
UACGGAGGAUGCAAGCGUUGUCCGGAAUCAUUGGGCGUAAAGGGUCCUGAGGUGGUUUGCUCAGUCCACUGUGAAAGUUCAGGGCUUACCCUUGAAAAUGCGGUGGAAACUAGUAGGCUAGAGUACGGCGGGGGCAGAGGGAAUUCCCGAUGUAGCGGUGAAAUGCAUAGAUAUCGGGAAGAACACCGAUGGCGAAGGCACUCUGCUGGGCCGACACUGACACUGAAAGACGAAAGCCAGGGGAGCGAAUGGG